AUGGAAGAAGAAAUCGCCGUGCUCUUCAUUGACAAUGGCUCCGACAUGUGCAAAACUGGCUUUGCUGGGGCGAUGCUUCCUGAGCCAUGUUCCCCUCCAUUGUUGGGUGCCCCUGGUACCAUGGUGUGAUGGUGGGCAUGGGCCAGAAGGAUUCCUACGUGGGUGAUAAGGCUCAGACUAAGCACUGCAUCCUGACCCGAAGUACCCCAUCAAACAUGACAUCGUCACCAAUGGGGUGGGACAACAUGGAGAAGAUCUGGCACCACACCUUCUACAACAAGUUGCAUGUGGCCCCGGAGGAGUACCUGGUGCUGCUGACCAAGGCCCCCCCAAACCCCAAGGCCAACUGAGAGAAGAUGACUAAGAUCACAUUUGAGAUCUGCAGCACCCUGGCCAUGUACAUGGCCAUCCAGGCUGUGCUGUCCCUUUACACCUCUGGGUGCACCAAUGGCAUUGCCAUGGACUCUGGAGAUGGGGUCACCCACAUGGUACCCAUCUAUGAGGGCUACACCCUCCCCCACACCAUCCUGCAUCUGGACCUGGCUGGCUGGGACCUGACUGAUUACCUCAUGAAGAUCCUCACCAAGUGCACCUACAGUUUCACUACCAUGACUGAGCAGGAGAUCAUGCGUGACAUCAAGAAGAAGCUGUGCAAUGUCUCCCUGGGCUUUGAGCACAAGAUGGCCACUGGCGCAUCCUCCUCCUCCCUGGAGAAGAGCUACGAGGUGCCUGAUGGCCAAGUCAUCACCAUUGGCAACGAGUGGUUCUGGUAUCCGGAGGUGCUGUUUCAGCUUUCCUGGGCAUGGAAUCUUGCGGCAUCCACGAGACCACCUUCAACUCCAUCAUGAAAUAUGAUGUGGACAUCUGCAAAGACCUGUAUGCCAAAACGGUGCUGUCCAGUGGCACCACUAUGUAUCUGGGCAUUGCCACUAGGAUGCAGAAGGAGAUCACUGCCCUGGCACCCAGGACUAUGAAGAUCAAGAUCAUCACGCCCCCAGAGUGCAAGUACUUAGUGUGGAUCAGUAGCUCCAUCCUGGCCUUACUGUCCACCUUCCAGCAGAUGUGGAUUAGCAAGCAGGAGUAUGAUGAGUUGGACCCCUCCAUCGUCCACCACAAAUGCUUCUAAAUGGACUGCAAGUAGAUGUGUAGCAUUUGCUGCAUGGGUUAAUUCAGAAGUAUAAAUUUGCCCUUGGCAAAUGCAUACACCUCAUGCUAGCCUCACAAAACUGGAAUAGCCUUCGCAAAGAAAUUGUCCUUGAAACUUGUAUCUGAUAUCAGCACUAGAUUGUAGAACUUGCUGAUUUUUUUUGACCUUGUAUUCAAGUUAACUGUUCCCCU